GUGGGGAAUAUUGCGCAAUGGGGGAAACCCUGACGCAGCGACGCCGCGUGAGCGAAGAAGGCCUUAGGGUUGUAAAGCUCUGUUUUAAGGGACGAAUGUCGUGGGGAGUAAUAUGCUCUGCGAAUGACGGUACCUUAAGAGGAAGCCCCGGCUAACUACGUGCCAGCAGCCGCGGUAAGACGUAGGGGGCGAGCGUUGUCCGGAAUUACUGGGCGUAAAGAGCACGGAGGCGGGAACUUAAGUCAGGUGUGAAAGACCGGGGCUCAACUCCGGGGUUGCACUUGAAACUGGGUUUCUUGAGGGCAGGAGAGGAAAGCAGAAUUCCUGGUGUAGCGGUGAAAUGCGUAGAAAUCAGGAGGAAUACCAGUGGCGAAGGCGGCUUUCUGGACUGACCCUGACGCUGAGGUGCGAAAGCGUGGGUAGCAAACAGGAUUAGAUACCCGUGUAGUCC
rnacentral:rRNA from 1 species